rnacentral:rRNA from 1 species
UACGGAGGGGGCUAGCGUUGUUCGGAAUUACUGGGCGUAAAGCGUACGUAGGCGGCUUUGUAAGUUAGAGGUGAAAGCCCGGGUCUUAACCCCGGAAUUGCCCUUAAGACUGCAUCGCUAGAAUCAUGGAGAGGUGAGUGGAAUUCCGAGUGUAGAGGUGAAAUUCGUAGAUAUUCGGAAGAACACCAGUGGCGAAGGCGACUCACUGGACAUGUAUUGACGCUGAGGUACGAAAGCGUGGGGGGCAAACAGG